rnacentral:lncRNA from 1 species
AAUAGUUUUUGUGAGCAUUAAAAUAUAGGAAAAUAAUAAUUUUUGGGAAAUUAAAAUUUAACAUAAGUUUAGAAAUAUGUGGAUGCAUACAUGCUGCAAUAUAUUUUUUUAUGACGUGUGAAUUUAAGAAAAAAAAAGAAAUUUGUUCAAAAUUCAAUUUAUAAAAGCAUUUGAAAAUUGGUUCAAAAAAAGGAAAAGAAACCCUGUUCCCC